rnacentral:tRNA from 1 species
GGUUUUAUAUUCAAAAUAUGAUGAUUUUAAAUUGCAAGUUUAAAGGUGUAAAUUACUAAAACCU